ACACCGAAACUACCGUAUUUUCUGGAUUAUAAAUCGCUCCGGAGUAGAAGUCGCACCAGCCAUAAAAUGCAUAAUAAAGAAGGAAAAGACAUAUAUAAGUCGCACUGGAGUAUAAGUCGCAUUUUUGGGGGAAAUUUAUUUGAUAAAAUCCAACACCAAGAACAGACAUGUCAUCUUGAAAGGCAAGUUAAAAUAAAAAUAGAAUAGAGGCAACAACAGGCUGAAUAGUUGUACGGUAUGCUAACGUUACAUGACACAUAAACAACGAGCUGAGAACGUGCCUGGUAUGUUAACAUAACAUAUUAAGAGUUAUUCAGUUAACUAUAGCAUAAAGAACAUGCUAACAAGUUUACCAAACCAUCCGUGUCACUCCAAAUCACUAAAUCCAAUGAAAUCUUCAUCCUCGGUGUCACUUUUAAACAACUCCGCCAACUCCGGAGGUAGAAGAUGCGGCACUUCCUCUUCUACGUCGCUUACGUCAGACUCAUCGUCAGUUGCAGUUCCAAUUAUUCCAGCCUUUCUGAAUCCUGACAGAACGGUUUCGGUUGUCACUGAAGCCCAUGCUUUUUGUUUUUAUAAGUUACCGCCAAUGUUGAAAUUAUCAACACAGGCCUAGAGCGCCCUCUUGCGGUUUAGUGUGAAAAUAACAUGUGAAAUGAUAUAAUAAUGUGUUAAUAAUUUCACACAUAAGUCGCUCCAGAGUAUAAGUCGCACCCCCGGCCAAAGUAUGAAAAAAACUGCGACUUAUAGUCCG